rnacentral:rRNA from 1 species
UACGUAGGGACCGAGCGUUGUCCGGAUUCAUUGGGCGUAAAGAGCUCGUAGGCGGCUGCUCAAGUCGAAUGUGAAAACUCGAGGCUCAACCUCGAGCCUGCAUUCGAUACUGGGCGGCUAGAGUCUGGUAGGGGGAUCUGGAAUUCCUGGUGUAGCGGUGGAAUGCGCAGAUAUCAGGAGGAACACCGGUGGCGAAGGCGGGAUCCUGGGCCAGUACUGACGCUGGAGGAGCGAAAGCGUGGGGAGCAAACAGG